rnacentral:rRNA from 1 species
GACGAACGCUGGCGGCGUGCCUAAUACAUGCAAGUCGAGCGAAGUUUUUCUGGUGCUUGCACCAGAAAAACUUAGCGGCGAACGGGUGAGUAACACGUAAAGAACCUGCCUCAUAGACUGGGACAACUAUUGGAAACGAUAGCUAAUACCGGAUAACAGUAUUUCUCGCAUGAGAGAUAUUUAAAAGUUGGUUAUGCUAACACUAUGAGAUGGCUUUGCGGUGCAUUAGCUAGUUGGUGGGGUAAAGGCCCACCAAGGCGACGAUGCAUAGCCGACCUGAGAGGGUGAUCGGCCACACUGGGACUGAGACACGGCCCAGACUCCUACGGGAGGCAGCAGUAGGGAAUCUUCCGCAAUGGGCGAAAGCCUGACGGAGCAACGCCGCGUGAGUGAAGAAGGAUUUCGGUUCGUAAAGCUCUGUUGUUAGGGAAGAAUGGAUAUGUAGUAACUAUACAUGUAAGAGACGGUACCUAACCAGAAAGCCACGGCUAACUACGUG